rnacentral:rRNA from 1 species
GGUCAAGUGAAGAAGCGCAUACGGUGGAUGCCUUGGCAGUCAGAGGCGAUGAAAGACGUGGUAGCCUGCGAAAAGCUUCGGGGAGUCGGCAAACAGACUUUGAUCCGGAGAUGUCUGAAUGGGGGAACCCAGCCAUCAUAAGAUGGUUAUCUUGUACUGAAUACAUAGGUGCAAGAGGCGAACCAGGGGAACUGAAACAUCUAAGUACCCUGAGGAAAAGAAAUCAACCGAGAUUCCCUUAGUAGUGGCGAGCGAACGGGGACUAGCCCUUAAGUGGCUUUGAGAUUAGCGGAACGCUCUGGAAAGUGCGGCCAUAGUGGGUGAUAGCCCUGUACGCGAAAGUCUCUUAGUCAUGAAAUCGAGUAGGACGGAGCACGAGAAACUUUGUCUGAAUAUGGGGGGACCAUCCUCCAAGGCUAAAUACUACUGACUGACCGAUAGUGAACUAGUACCGUGAGGGAAAGGCGAAAAGAACCCCGGAGAGGGGAGUGAAAUAGAUCCUGAAACCGUAUGCGUACAAGCAGUGGGAGCAGACUUUGUUCUGUGACUGCGUACCUUUUGUAUAAUGGGUCAGCGACUUAUUUUCAGUGGCGAGCUUAACCGAAUAGGGGAGGCGUAGCGAAAGCGAGUCUUAAUAGGGCGUCUAGUCGCUGGGAAUAGACCCGAAACCGGGCGAUCUAUCCAUGGGCAGGUUGAAGGUUAGGUAACACUGACUGGAGGACCGAACCGACUACCGUUGAAAAGUUAGCGGAUGACCUGUGGAUCGGAGUGAAAGGCUAAUCAAGCUCGGAGAUAGCUGGUUCUCCUCGAAAGCUAUUUAGGUAGCGCCUCAUGUAUCACUGUAGGGGGUAGAGCACUGUUUCGGCUAGGGGGUCAUCCCGACUUACCAAACCGAUGCAAACUCCGAAUACCUACAAGUGCCGAGCAUGGGAGACACACGGCGGGUGCUAACGUCCGUCGUGAAAAGGGAAACAACCCAGACCGUCAGCUAAGGUCCCAAAGUUAUGGUUAAGUGGGAAACGAUGUGGGAAGGCUUAGACAGCUAGGAGGUUGGCUUAGAAGCAGCCACCCUUUAAAGAAAGCGUAAUAGCUCACUAGUCGAGUCGGCCUGCGCGGAAGAUGUAACGGGGCUCAAACCAUACACCGAAGCUACGGGUAUCACGUAAGUGAUGCGGUAGAGGAGCGUUCUGUAAGCCUGUGAAGGUGAGUUGAGAAGCUUGCUGGAGGUAUCAGAAGUGCGAAUGCUGACAUGAGUAACGACAAUGGGUGUGAAAAACACCCACGCCGAAAGACCAAGGUUUCCUGCGCAACGUUAAUCGACGCAGGGUUAGUCGGUCCCUAAGGCGAGGCUGAAAAGCGUAGUCGAUGGAAAACAGGUUAAUAUUCCUGUACUUCUGGUUAUUGCGAUGGAGGGACGGAGAAGGCUAGGCCAGCUUGGCGUUGGUUGUCCAAGUUUAAGGUGGUAGGCUGAGAUCUUAGGUAAAUCCGGGAUCUUAAGGCCGAGAGCUGAUGACGAGUUACCUUUCAGGUGACGAAGUGGUUGAUGCCAUGCUUCCAAGAAAAGCUUCUAAGCUUCAGAUAAUCAGGAACCGUACCCCAAACCGACACAGGUGGUUGGGUAGAGAAUACCAAGGCGCUUGAGAGAACUCGGGUGAAGGAACUAGGCAAAAUGGCACCGUAACUUCGGGAGAAGGUGCGCCGGUGAGGGUGAAGGACUUGCUCCGUAAGCUCAUGCCGGUCGAAGAUACCAGGCCGCUGCGACUGUUUAUUAAAAACACAGCACUCUGCAAACACGAAAGUGGACGUAUAGGGUGUGACGCCUGCCCGGUGCCGGAAGGUUAAUUGAUGGGGUUAGCUAACGCGAAGCUCUUGAUCGAAGCCCCGGUAAACGGCGGCCGUAACUAUAACGGUCCUAAGGUAGCGAAAUUCCUUGUCGGGUAAGUUCCGACCUGCACGAAUGGCGUAACGAUGGCGGCGCUGUCUCCACCCGAGACUCAGUGAAAUUGAAAUCGCUGUGAAGAUGCAGUGUAUCCGCGGCUAGACGGAAAGACCCCGUGAACCUUUACUAUAGCUUUGCACUGGACUUUGAAUUUGCUUGUGUAGGAUAGGUGGGAGGCUUUGAAGCGUGGACGCCAGUUCGCGUGGAGCCAUCCUUGAAAUACCACCCUGGCAACUUUGAGGUUCUAACUCAGGUCCGUUAUCCGGAUCGAGGACAGUGUAUGGUGGGUAGUUUGACUGGGGCGGUCUCCUCCUAAAGAGUAACGGAGGAGUACGAAGGUGCGCUCAGACCGGUCGGAAAUCGGUCGUAGAGUAUAAAGGCAAAAGCGCGCUUGACUGCGAGACAGACACGUCGAGCAGGUACGAAAGUAGGUCUUAGUGAUCCGGUGGUUCUGUAUGGAAGGGCCAUCGCUCAACGGAUAAAAGGUACUCCGGGGAUAACAGGCUGAUACCGCCCAAGAGUUCAUAUCGACGGCGGUGUUUGGCACCUCGAUGUCGGCUCAUCACAUCCUGGGGCUGAAGCCGGUCCCAAGGGUAUGGCUGUUCGCCAUUUAAAGUGGUACGCGAGCUGGGUUUAGAACGUCGUGAGACAGUUCGGUCCCUAUCUGCCGUGGACGUUUGAGAUUUGAGAGGGGCUGCUCCUAGUACGAGAGGACCGGAGUGGACGAACCUCUGGUGUUCCGGUUGUCACGCCAGUGGCAUUGCCGGGUAGCUAUGUUCGGGAAAGAUAACCGCUGAAAGCAUCUAAGCGGGAAACUUGCCUCAAGAUGAGAUCUCACUGGAACCUUGAGUUCCCUGAAGGGCCGUCGAAGACUACGACGUUGAUAGGUUGGGUGUGUAAGCGCUGUGAGGCGUUGAGCUAACCAAUACUAAUUGCCCGUGAGGCUUGACCAU